GAACGCACCUUGCGCCCUUUGGCCAUUCCGAAGGGCAUGCCUGUUUGAGUAUCAUGAACACCUCAACUCUCAUGGUUCGCCAUGAUGAGCUUGGACUUUGGGGGCCUUGCCGGCUUGACUGUCGGCUCCUCUCAAAUGAAUCAGCUUGCCAGUGUUUGGUGGCAUCACAGGUGUGAUAACUAUCUACGCUUGUGACCGUUCACCAGGUAACCUUCAGCGAUGGAGGUUCGCUGGAGCUCACAGACGUCUCUCCCCAGGGAGGACAGCUUCUAAAUGUUUGAUCUCAAAUCAGGUAGGACUACCCGCUGAACUUAAG
rnacentral:misc_RNA from 1 species